UUCCUCCAGAGCAAAACACAGAUUUCAGACAGGACAGAGCUGCUGCACCGAGUCUGAUGUAAAGAGAGAGGCGACGUCACAGGGAGAAGAUGAUCUGCUGCAUCCUGCUGCUCCUCACACUGACCUCCUGUGUCUGUGGAACAUUUGUAGUGAAUGUGACACAGAGCUCCUAUCAGGCAGAGGAGAACCACAACAUCACACUGGAGUGGAGCUUCACAACCAAACCUCACACUCCACCUGACU